AACGAACGCUGGCGGCACGCCUAACACAUGCAAGUCGAGCGGCAGCGAGACUAGUAGCAAUACUAGUUGUCGGCGAGCGGCGGACGGGUGAGUAACACGUAGGAAUCUGCCCUUAAGCGGGGGAUAACCAAGGGAAACUUUGGCUAAUACCGCAUAAUCUCGAGAGAGCAAAGCUGCCCGCAAGGGUGGCACUUGAGGAGGAGCCUGCGUCCGAUUAGCUAGUUGGUGGGGUAAUGGCCUACCAAGGCGAUGAUCGGUAACUGGUCUGAGAGGACGACCAGUCACACUGGGACUGAGACACGGCCCAGACUCCUACGGGAGGCAGCAGUGGGGAAUAUUGGACAAUGGGGGCAACCCUGAUCCAGCGAUGCCGCGUGAGUGAAGAAGGCCUUCGGGUCGUAAAGCUCUUUAGGUUGGGAAGAAGGGUAUUGGCUGAAUAAUCCAGUACUUUGACGGUACCGACAGAAUAAGCACCGGCAAACUCUGUGCCAGCAGCCGCCGUAAAAC
rnacentral:rRNA from 1 species